rnacentral:rRNA from 1 species
GGGAUCAGUGGCGAACGGGUGAGUAACACGUGAGCAACCUGCCCCUGACUCUGGGAUAAGCGCUGGAAACGGCGUCUAAUACUGGAUAUGAACCGGAAUCGCAUGGUUACCGGUUGGAAAGAUUUUUCGGUUGGGGAUGGGCUCGCGGCCUAUCAGCUUGUUGGUGAGGUAAUGGCUCACCAAGGCGUCGACGGGUAGCCGGCCUGAGAGGGUGACCGGCCACACUGGGACUGAGACACGGCCCAGACUCCUACGGGAGGCAGCAGUGGGGAAUAUUGCACAAUGGGCGGAAGCCUGAUGCAGCAACGCCGCGUGAGGGAUGACGGCCUUCGGGUUGUAAACCUCUUUUAGCAGGGAAGAAGCGAAAGUGACGGUACCUGCAGAAAAAGCGCCGGCUAACUACGUGCCAGCAGCCGCGGUAAUACGUAGGGCGCAAGCGUUAUCCGGAAUUAUUGGGCGUAAAGAGCUCGUAGGCGGUUUGUCGCGUCUGCUGUGAAAUCCCGAGGCUCAACCUCGGGCCUGCAGUGGGUACGGGCAGACUAGAGUGCGGUAGGGGAGAUUGGAAUUCCUGGUGUAGCGGUGGAAUGCGCAGAUAUCAGGAGGAACACCGAUGGCGAAGGCAGAUCUCUGGGCCGUAACUGACGCUGAGGAGCGAAAGGGUGGGGAGCAAACAGGCUUAGAUACCCUGGUAGUCCACCCCGUAAACGUUGGGAACUAGUUGUGGGGUCCAUUCCACGGAUUCCGUGACGCAGCUAACGCAUUAAGUUCCCCGCCUGGGGAGUACGGCCGCAAGGCUAAAACUCAAAGGAAUUGACGGGGACCCGCACAAGCGGCGGAGCAUGCGGAUUAAUUCGAUGCAACGCGAAGAACCUUACCAAGGCUUGACAUAUACGAGAACGGGCCAGAAAUGGUCAACUCUUUGGACACUCGUAAACAGGUGGUGCAUGGUUGUCGUCAGCUCGUGUCGUGAGAUGUUGGGUUAAGUCCCGCAACGAGCGCAACCCUCGUUCUAUGUUGCCAGCACGUAAUGGUGGGAACUCAUGGGAUACUGCCGGGGUCAACUCGGAGGAAGGUGGGGAUGACGUCAAAUCAUCAUGCCCCUUAUGUCUUGGGCUUCACGCAUGCUACAAUGGCCGGUACAAAGGGCUGC